AUGUCCUGGGCUCUUUUCCUUAGUCUCUUGGUAGUGUGGGGCGAAGGAGCAACUUCGCAAAGUCUGGUGUCUCAACCUCCGUCAGCCUCAGUGUCCCCAGGAAACACGGUGAAACUCACCUGCACCUUGGGAAGCAGUGUCAACAUCGGCAGCCACAGGAUGUACUGGUACCAGCAGAAGCCUCCGAGCUCUCCGCGUUUUCUCUUGCACUACCACACGGAUUCUGACACGGGGCACGGUUCUGGAGUCCCUUCUAGAUUCUCUGGUUCUAAAGAAACCUCCACCAAUACUGCUUACGUAACCGUUUCUGGAGUUCUGGCCGAAGACGAGGCUGAUUAUUACUGUGCUAUCUGGCACAGCAGCUGUGUGUUUGUCUUCGGUGGUGGAACCCAGCUAACAAUCACAGGCCAGCCCACCGUAUCUCCUACGGUGCAAGUCUUUGGUUCUUCUGAGCAAGAGAUCAAAAGCCAGAACAAAGCCACCGUGGUGUGUCUCCUAAACGACUUUUACCCGCCUGGCUUCAACCUGAAAUGGAAGGUUGAUGGUACCGAGACCGAAUCUGGAGUGGAGACAACCAAAGCCACCAAGCAGGGAGACAAAUACCUUGCCAGCAGUUACCUGACCAGGAGUGCUUCUGACUAUGGAGGUCAUACUUACGUAUGUGAAGUGACACAUGAUGGGAAGUCCUUUACGAAGACUUUUUCAGGAUCUGGAAGUUGUUAACUCCAACCUUUAUCCUGUCCGGCCAUUCAGGCGGGAGAAAAAGAGUACCUUCUCCUGGAAUCUCAUUCCUUCUUUCCUAAAUUGAGCUUUAUCACUAAUGUCUCUUUCUAUUCCAAGUAGUUACAUCCUUGUAUUCCCCCCAUGCUUUUGCCCUUCCAAUGGAUUCCCCCCACCCCCACUUUGAUCUGUUAGAUUCUACGGUCAGCACAUUAAUAAAGA